rnacentral:lncRNA from 1 species
UGGGAGGCGGCCGGCCUCACUGAGCAUGCGCGCCGCUCCGCACAUGCUCAGUCAUAGGACCUGGCUCUCCAGCCAGCCCCACCCCCUCCGCCCCGGCUCCCUCCGCCUCCUCCGAGUUGUGGGUAUCCAGAGGCGGAGCGGUGCCAAAGCGACGUGAAAUCCGCUGCUCCGGGUUUUACUAGCAGCACGAGGAAGAGCCUGGACCCUGCUGGGGAAGCUGUCAGUGGAGGCGCUCUUCAGGUGUCUGGACUGCUGGAUGUGGGUGCUGGGAACAAAAGGGGAGUUAGCACGUAAAGUCUCUACCAACCCAACCAGAACUGAGGGGAGGAGGAAGAGAAAGAAAAGAAAAAAUGGCUGGAUGGCCCUUACGGCAUCCGGAAGCCCUAGUGCUGUCACUAGCACCUUGCUGGCUGAAGAAAGCAAAGCCAACCCCAUCAUGCUUCCCACAGCGAGCCUUGAUCUGAAGAUCUCAAAGAUUAAAACAGAGACUGAAGGAACACCCAUUCGGAGCCUGCCCCACAUGUGGCCCAUACAUAUACAGCCACCCAAUUAGACAAGAUGGAUGAAGCAAAGAAGUGCAGACCGACAGGAGCCGGAUGUAGAUCGCUCCUGAGAGACACAGCCAGAAUACAGCAAAUAUAGAGGCGAAUGCCAGCAGCAAACCACUGAACUGAGAAUAGGUCCCCUAUUGAAGGAAUCAGAGAAAGAACUGGAAGAGCUUGAAGGGGCUCGAGACCCCUUAUGAACAACAAUGCCAAGCAACCAGAGCUUCCAGGGACUAAGCCACUACCCAAAGACUAUACAUGGACUGACCCUGGACUCUGACCCCAUAGGUAGCAAUGAAUAUCCUAGUAAGAGCACCAGUGGAAGGGGAAGCCCUGGGUCCUGCUAAGACUGAACCCCCAGUGAACUAGUCUAUGGGGGGAGGGCGGCAAUGGGG